CCUACGGGAGGCAGCAGUGGGGAAUAUUGGGCAAUGGAGGCAACUCUGACCCAGCAACGCCGCGUGAAUGAUGAAGGUCUUCGGAUUGUAAAGUUCUGUGAUGGGGGAUGAACACAAUGACGGUACCCCAAUAGCAAGCCACGGCUAACUACGUGCCAGCAGCCGCGGUAAUACGUAGGUGGCAAGCGUUAUCCGGAAUGACUGGGCGUAAGGGGUGCGUAGGUGGUUUAGUAAGUUGGCGGUGUAAUUCCGGGGCUUAACCUCGGCGCUACCGCCAAAACUAUUAGACUAGAGUGCAGGUGGGGUAAGUGGAAUACGUAGUGUAGCGGUGGAAUGCGUAGAUAUUAGGAGGAACAGCAGGGGCGAAGGCGACUUACUGGACUGUAACUGACACUGAGGCACGAAAGCGUGGGGAGCGAACAGGAUUAGAUACCCGAGUAGUC
rnacentral:rRNA from 1 species